rnacentral:rRNA from 1 species
GGCGCUUUGGGAGGGACCUGCGUCCCAUCAGCUAGUUGGUGAGGUAACGGCUCACCAAGGCUACGACGGGUAGGGGGCCUGAGAGGGUGGCCCCCCACAAUGGAACUGAAACACGGUCCAUACACCUACGGGUGGCAGCAGUUGGGAAUAUUGCACAAUGGGCGAAAGCCUGAUGCAGCAACGCCGCGUGAGCGAUGAAGGCCUUCGGGUCGUAAAGCUCUUUUCUGGGAGAUGAGAAAGGACAGUAUCCCAGGAAUAAGUCUCGGCUAACUACGUGCCAGCAGCCGCGGUAAAACGUAGGAGGCAAGCGUUAUCCGGAUUCACUGGGCGUAAAGCGCGUGCAGGCGGUUUGGUAAGUUGGGCGUGAAAUCUCCCGGCUCAACUGGGAGGGGUCGUUCAAUACUACCGGACUUGAGAGCGAUAGAGGAAAAUGGAAUUCCCGGUGUAGUGGUGAAAUGCGUAGAUAUCGGGAGGAACACCAGUGGCGAAAGCGAUUUUCUGGAUCGUUUCUGACGCUCAGACGCGAAAGCUAGGGUAGCAAACGGGAUUAGAG